rnacentral:lncRNA from 1 species
CCAAUCACCCGGCGUCCCAUUGCUCAACUCUCAUGAUACUCUCCCCACUGCCCUGCCCUGUAUAAACCUCACCCCAGUUAGCCUCCCCCUCUUUCUCGCCGUUGUUCGAGUGCUGAAACUUGGGAAGGCAACGGUCUGGACUGCGCCACAAUCCCCUGCUGGUUGGGGUUUUCUGGCCUCCCGGCUGUUCUUCCUGGGCCCUGCCAGACGAGCACCCACCAGGGGCCUUCACCUUUGCCGUUGCUGACACCCUGCAUCCACACCGGUCCCUGAUCUCUGGGUUGCUAGCUGCUCAAAAUGUCAAAGAUUAAUUUUGAUUGUAAUGCAUUUUGCUGUCUACAUUCUCUAACUCAAAAAGUAUAUAUAUAUUUGUUAUUGGUUACAAAUAAAUUGUUUUUGUUUUUUUUUGUACUGGGGAUUGAACUUGGGUCCUUGUGCUUGCGCAGCAAGUGGCAAAAUACAAAUAAAUUGUUAAUUGUUACAAUCUAGUUUUUUACAGGUCAUAUAAAAAGGAAAUUGUCAAGAUAAUAAAAACUUUUAGGUUUGGGGAGAUGGCCAGAUGAUGGGACUCCCUU